UAUCAAUGACGACAAAUAUUCCGAACCUGACUGUUUGAUGAAAAACCACACGGAUCUGACUACUGAGAU